AAAAGCAAUGCCUGGGCAAAGCCACUGAUGUUUAUCUGUGUCUGAAUUUGUCCUGAUUAUUCAGGUUUUCCAGUAGAUGUUGGAACGUAAUUAUGGCCAUAGGAAAACUGGGACCGAAAGAUGCAUGGCACUUGCAAGCGAGCAAGAAAGCUGUAACACGAAAGUGGGUACAACCUGACCCUCCAACAAAGUGUAAUGGUGUGUAU